CGGAAAAUACAGCCGUCACAUUGUUAAUCAAGUCACAUGGCAAUAUAAAUUGUAAAAGUUAAAAUACAUAAAAAAAAAAUUCCAUUUACAUCUGUCAUAUACAACAAAAAAAUUAAGACCCGUAAACACUUCAAUAUACCACUCCCACUUGUUUACGUACUUUAAAUAUCAAAUUGUUUGGAUAAAAUGUCUAAACAAAAAAAUUAUAUCAUACUCUAUGCGAGUCUUGUGUGUGAUCAUUCAAACACGACAAUUUUUCCUUUGUACUUUGUAUGUAAUGAAUCAUCGAUCAUUGACGUCAGUAAGUAUAAGUACUGACCUAAAAAAUAUACUUAGUACUAAACUUGUUUACAUGUAUGUCAUAAGAUCUUUGGUCACAAAGUUAAAUCUCGAGUAAAACCCGUUUCCGAUAAACUGUCUACGGUAUAACACAUGGGUUAAAAAAAUAACCUUGAUCCUAUGAUUCAUUGAUAAAGUUGAUGGUCUAGAGGUGUGAGUCAAAGUCGGGCGACAAAUGAAAUAGAAAAUGUAACACACCAGCACCGCAGAUCUUAAAUGAAACUAGAAAUAUUUUAUAUGGAGAAUAGACUGAGAUGCCUCUCGAUCUAGAUAGCGUUUUGACUUGGUUAAAUGGACACAAAACUGUCCUAGAUUACAAUUAUGGUAAGAGUAAUCGAUGCAGAAAAGGAUAUUACAAAUGUGAAGUCGAGAGUGAUAUAACAAGAAGCAACAUCUCAGGGUACAGGAAACUUAUUUGAUAAGAUUAAGCUACAGAAAUAUAGCAGUUGCAAAAGGAGAAAACAUGUUUUUAAACAGACAUAACAGCAUUAUGAUAGAAUAACUAGAUACUUAACAGGAGGAAAAUACUACGUGGAAAGUAAAACUAAUUGACAUGCGUUAUCGAUUGAUUAUAAAAAUAAUAUCCUUAUAUUCUCUGGAAUGCAGGAACAUAAAGAUGAAAAGAGGAUAGACAAAUUUGCAAUUCCUUAUAUUAUGAGAUGGGAAUUGAACAAAAACUAAAAUUUGGCAAUGUUCAUGACUUUGGUAAGAGUAACACAGUUUGGCGACUAUGUUGAAUGCAUCUGUCCAAUCGAAAUUGAAAUAAAGGAUACAACAGAUA